UGAGAAUCAAUUUGUGAGGCAGGAAACCUGCUAGCAGGACUCUCGCUUUGCUGAGUUAAUUUUUCCUUUUUCCUUUCCACCCAAUAAGUUCCAUUUUCCUCACCCUUCUAUGUAUCCACAAGCCUAAUCAUUCCUGGUUGUGUGACAAGAGGCCAGUUUUAGCUGAACUAAGGAGAAAGUUCUGCAACAUUUUUGGCAUCCAGAUAUGGGGCUCGAGGAAAGGAACCUGUAGGAGGAUGUGAGACAGCACCUCGGGGCACAGAUGGCAGGCAGAGCCCCAGACUCGGAAACUGGAAGUAGUUCUCCAGGGUUGAUUUUAGGAGCAGAAGACCACAGCCUGAACUUGAUUAUCAUCUUGGCAGCUACAGAAAGGCUGAGAACUGACAUUGCCAUCACAUCUGUUCACUUCUCCCACUGAAAAUUGGUAUGGUGGUACUGAUGAAGUAAUUGAAACUACCAGAACUUGGGAAUGCCUUGGACAGAGGGUACAAGAAAGGUGAUUAUAAACAUUUACAUUUGUAGUUGGGGAUGAAAGAUUUGAACUGUGCCUACCAGAGGGUCCUGAUCUGAAAAGAGGGUGAUAAUAGAAUACAGUAUGAGACAUUUCUGUUGAUGGGUAAGAAUCAUCACUCUGAAACAAGGCUGCCUGAAUCUGGAUCCUGGCUCUACCGCUUUCCAGCAACAUUGUGAGGAUUCAGCAAGUCUAGAAUUAUAAUCCCUAAUAUUUAUUUUUUAAGUAAAGGAUGGGAUGUCUGCUAAUUUCAAGUCAGCACCAAACUGGUUCUGGAGGCUGUGAAGUCUGAGGUCAAUGGCCCACAUCUGGUGAAGGCCUGCUCGCUAGUGAGGACUCUCUGGAGAGUUCCAAAUUGGCACAUAGCAUCAUAUGGUUCAUGGCCUUUAAGCAUGCUAGAGGCACUUUCACUUCUGCUGUUCUACCCUAUGCAAGACAAAACACGACACUUUCGGGGUAUCUAGUGUUGGUCAUCAGGCUUGAACUGAAUAAUUUGUUCUUGGCUCUUGAGCCUGCUGGCUUUUGGACUGGAACUUGAACUAUUAGCAAUCCUGGUACUCAGGGCUUUGGACUUGAACUGGAUUACUCUAUCGGUUCUCCUGGCUCUCCAGUGGGCCAACUACGGAUCUUAGGACUUCUCAGUCUCAAUAAUCAUGUUUCUCUCACAUCGACAUAGAAACUCUGCUGACAUUGAUGACUUGCCUGGUGGUGUGAUACAGAUGAUCAUUCAUGAAGGGUCUGAGCCCCUUGCUACUACACCCUGUUCAGGCCUGGAUUGCUGCAUGUAUUAUGACAAUGGAAAUUGAGUACCAAAGAAACAUCCUAGAGGCUUAACUGGGGACCACACAUAGUCCUUUUUGUCCCCAUGGGAUAUAAGUCACCAUAUGUCCUCUUGAUGAUCAGCAUCGAUUAUCCCUGACAGAGUGGUGACUCCUUUUAUUACCUUCUGGUUCUUUCACACAAGGAGCCAGGAAUGCCAAGGCAGCAGUCACAGUUUAUAAUUAAAUGUUAAUCUUGCUGAGUCCUCUGGCAUAAAUGUUCUCCAUUUGGAACUGAAGACCUCUGAACCUGCAAAUUCCACAGUUUUAGGGAUAAGAAUAUUUUAUAAGUGAGUGUCCGAGUUGAUGAGAAGAACUUCUUGGUUCCCAGAUUCAUCUCUUCUUGCUAUAGAAAUGCAGCAUUAUAUAAAUGUCUUUUAAUUCAAGGUAUAAAUGGUCUUGGAGAAUGACACGCUAAUCUAGUAAGUAUCACCUCUGAAUUGGUAUUUACGUUGUGUCUUUAAGAAGUUGUUUCAAUGCUCCCAGAGACCGGCAGCUUCUGAGGAGUGACCAGUCCUGCUCCUUGUUAUAAUGUAAAUCCUCUGAGACGACACAAUGUUGUAUGGAAUCCCAUACUGCUGGGUCAAACAUUCAUAAUAUUUCAAAUUGUGAGGGCUUAUGGAAUGACCUUGUUGCAGAAUUCCUGGGGCCUGAGUUAUGACUCUUCCUCUGGUUUUUUUUUAAACAAACUCCACUUGGCAUCCUUUUGCCAACACUAAUAUCUCCAAUACCAUAUGGCCUGCCAGAUCAUAUGUCCCCAGGUGGUAAUGUUUCAGGUAGACAGGUAUGAGCUAGCCAGGAGAAGGUUCUCCCUGCACCACCAGAAAUGUCAGGCAAUCAUCAGGUGAUGGUUUGGCAGUUAUAUUGCCUCUCAAAAAAUGGUAAUUUGGCAGCUGGCACCAGGGAGAGACAAUCUCCUGAUGGUCCACAGCUGUCACACUAAAGUGUUAAUUGAAUGCAGGUGCCAAGGGGAGGCAACUUCUUAAACAGAUAAAAACACUUGAGAUUGGUAAGCAGCUUCCAAUAAAAUCUCAGGAAUUGGGUGAGUGAGCGCAGGCAUGCAAAUUAAGAGACAAAAUGGCAGAGUAUGACCUUCUGGGGGCAUUCCACCAGAAAAGGGAAGAAAGCCUCAGAUGGGCAUGUGUACAACUUUCUAAACACACUGAGCAUGCUGCAUACUGCAUAUGUGGCCAGCCCUCCCUAUGGGAAGAAUCAUGGGAAAAAGGAACAAGACACUGGGAGUGGGCCAGCCUAUAAAGUCCCAGAAUCAAAGUUAAAUGCCACACUUAUCGUUCAAGUUGCCCACCUGGGUCUCUUCCACGUGUAUUUACUUUUCUUUCCUGUUGAAAAGCCUUUUUAAAUAAACUUCCACUCCUGCUCUGAAACUUUCCUUGGUGUCUUUUUCGGCCUUAUGCCGCUCAGUCGAAUUUUUUCUUCCGAGCAGGCAGGAAUUGAGGUUGCUGUAGACCCAUAUGGGUUCGCCCCCAUAACUCAAG
rnacentral:tRNA from 10 species